UACGGAGGGUGCGAGCGUUGUCCGGAAUCAUUGGGCGUAAAGGGCGCGUAGGUGGCGCGGCAAGCGUGCGGUGAAAGCUCGGGGCUCAACCCCGAGUCGGCCGUGCGAACUGCCGGGCUUGAGCACUGUAGAGGCAGGCGGAAUUCCGGGUGUAGCGGUGGAAUGCGUAGAGAUCCGGAAGAACACCGGUGGCGAAGGCGGCCUGCUGGGCAGUAGCUGACACUGAGGCGCGACAGCGUGGGGAGCAAACAGG
rnacentral:rRNA from 1 species